GGGAAUGUGGCUUAGUGGUAGAGUGCUUGCCUAGCAUGCAUGAAGCCAUGGGUUCAAUUCCUCAGUAUUCUCA
rfam:Dipodomys ordii contig_49426, whole genome shotgun sequence.